GGGAGCAUAGCUCAGUUGGGAGAGCACUUGCCUUACAAGCAAGGGGUCACUGGUUCGAGCCCAGUUGUUCCCACCA
rnacentral:tRNA from 4 species